AAAAAAGGUGGGUCAAGAUGUCAAGAUGCUAUUUGCUUUGGUGGAUUGGAGGAACGUCUCUGGCAUGAGUCAGUGUCCAUGUAACCCUUCCUCAGGAAUGUGAGGAUCUGAGGAAAGAAAACAAGUACUUAUCAAAUGAGAUCCACAUGGAGAGGAUCAUGAUGCGCACAGAGAGCGAGCUGACCAUGAGGAACCUGAGGAACCUGAACCAGGAGCUGCAGGCUCAAGUGAAAGAGCUGAAGCAGAAGCUGUAUCAGAGCCAGCAGAGGGCGACGUUGAGUUCACGAGCUGCAGAUGAGGCGGUGGAGUCCAGAGAGGAGGCAGAGAAGAGCAGGGCCCUCGCUGUGGCUCGGGCCCUCGGGAGCCAGAGGGACAAGGGGGCCGCGGAGGCCGACAGGAGCCGCAUGAGUGAAGAACUACAGCAGCUUAAGAAGGAGGUGCACAGAUAUCUGAUGUGCACACUCACCUUCAAUAUGUUGUUAGUGAACAGAGAUACGUAGAGGCAGCAACAUAGUUGUAGAACAGGGGGGUUAAUGCGUAUAUGUGUCUGUGUAUUCAUAGUGUAAUAACAUAUAAAUAUCUAACUUUGCAGCACACUGAUCUGCAGCUUUCUCAAGCACAAACAGAGAAGAGCUACUUUGAAAGUAAGCUGAAGCUGGAGCGGGUGUCUGGGGAGAAACAGGCGCUGCUGCAGGAGAACAGGAGCCUGGAGGGAGUCAGAGACGACCUCCGACACAAGCUGAGGCAGAUCACUGACGAAAAUGUCCAAAUAAAACAGAGUGAGAUGAAUUCGAGGCGGCGAGCGAUGACUUCGGAGGAGGAGGGGAAAAAUGCCAACCAGGCCCGGCAGGAGGCCGAGGCCGAGAGGCGCCUGGCUGAGAAGGAGAGGCAGGACAGAGCGGCCGAGUGUCUCCGCUGGAGGGAGAAGCACCAGGACAUGGACCACAGAUUCAGAGCGCAGGAGGACCUGAAGGCUCUGAGGCAGAACAAAGCAGUAAGAAAGCAUCCAGGACCUCAGAAUCAGUGUGGUCCUCACAAAUGGACAUUUCGAAUGUACUCCGUUACAUUGUUACGUUUUGUUUUCCAACAGUGUCAAGCAAACAUCAAGAGUUAUUUCCUCUGCAUGACAGAAAGCAACCAGAGGGUGAAGAUUCUCAGAAAUCAAGACGGCGCACCAAGAAACUUUACGGAGGGAGACCCGGUGUACAUCUCCACACCUGAGUCCAGCCCUGAAGAGCCUGAGAGGACUUCAUCCAGGACAGGACAGGACCUCAGGACCAUGUUGAGGGUCUCCGCCCCACACACGGGCCCGAGUCACUUCCAUGACCUGCCCGCCUUCGGAGGAGAGGGACCCGACUCUGCGCCUCCUCGCAGAAGCAGGAAGGUGGUGGAGUACUUCUGGAUCCCGACAGAUCAGGAGUAA
rnacentral:lncRNA from 1 species